GGGUCCACAAAAUCAGGUGCGCACGCCCAUCGCUCACCCUUCGCCCUCCUUCGUCACCAUCCAGGGGCACACACGUGCGCGAGUCCCUUGCGUUCUCCCCACACGAGAGAGAGAGAGAGGGGUGGCUUGUGUGUGUGCGUGUGUGUGUACGUGCAUUGCGGCUGCUACUGUCGCGGACCUGCACAUCCGACCGCCACCAUGACGUCGCGCGUCCAGCUCGACUUCUUCGUGCCGCCGCCGGAGCGGCGACAGUGCGUACGCGAACGACUGGCGCAGAAGCGCGCGCCGAUGUUCGAGUGGCGGCACGACUUCGCGGAGUCCGACUUCGACGCGGCCACAGGGGAGCGCCGCCCGCUGCGACGCAUCUUCAACCCCGUGGCGAAGGAGCACCCGGCUUCCGCGCGCCGUACCCACGCCGCGGCUACCACAGUGUCUUCAGCACGGCCAGCGACAGCCCCUGUGUGGAAGGCUGCGGCGAGCGGCAGCGCUGAUCGGCGCAACGCGUGGAAGCAGUCCGGCUUCACGUUCGUCGAGAACUACUUCCGCAAGAGCGCGCACUUGCCGGUGUCGCAGUCGCGCCCCCACACCUCCGCCUCUGCGUGUGGCUUGCUCCGCAGCGCGCGCCGAGGCGGGGUGUACGUGCCCUACCUGCACGACACGAUUCUCUUCUGUGAGCCUCUGCCGCGUUCGAUGGAGUCGCGUCGUGGUCGCCCUGGUGGCGGCGACGGCGCUGCCGCAGCAGCCGACCAGUUGCCGCCGGUCCAACGGACGCCCUCCACGGCAAGGGUGGUGCUGGCCGUCACGUGCAACGCCGCCGAGUCGCGCGCGAGGGAGUUGCAGGCGUCGGUUGAUGCGAAGAGGGCAGAGCUGCUGGGCUUCUCGAAGCCGUCGACGUCUUCGCAGAAAGCGCAGCAGCAGCAGCAGCAGCAGCCGGCGACCUACCUAUACGCCGCUGGCGUCGAGAGCUACACCUGCGAUGACGACGACAAAACGUCGAGGGCCGCCGCGACGAUCGCCAGCACCACCGGCGGCGUCGACUACGUCAACACAGCGGCGACCGCGCAAGGAGAAACGUGCUGCGACGUCGUGGGGCCCUCCAUCGCGGCCAAGCAGCGCGCGUUGGCGAUGGCCGAGGGCGUGUACACAGACCUCAUCCUUAAUCGAGGAAAAGCUUGGUCAGCAACCGCGACGGCGGCCGCCACGAAGACGGAGCUGCCGACGUGCGAGCUGGCCUACAGCCUGAGGCCGUCCUACGUGCAGUCGCGUCUUCGCCGAACAGCAGGGCGGCGCAGCAGCGGCAGCCAGAAUCUCGGCACCGCCGGCAUCGUCUCAGACCGCUACUCCGCAUCGUUGGACGAGGGGAUGAGUGGCACCACGCAGCACACCACGGCGGCGACAUCGCCCAUGGCGGCGUGCGCGUCAGCGCCGCACAUCCGCGGUCACCGCGGCAAUGGUGUAUCGGGACCACCAUCGGAGCGCGCCAUCACGCGGUCCCCUGGUAACGACAGCAUCGCCGGUGCAAUGCCGCUAGCGGCGACGGAGGUGGCGCUCGCGGACACAAUCACCUUUUUGCGGCGCAGCGGCAGCACUGCGUACCACAGCAGCACGACAGCGGUACCGCCGCCAGCCCUCUCGCCGAUGGAACUCAGGCACGACCUCGAGGGCACGGGGAAGACACGCAGCCCUGACGGCGCCCGUGGCCUAGCCACAUCCAAGACAUCUCCUACUGCAGCCGCGGCCGGCGCGCGAGCCGGGCACCGCCAGGGCCUUCAGUCGACCUCUUCACCGUUGCCGAGCCACGGAAACGCGCAGCUGCAGUCCGACUCGAACCCCUUGCUGCACCUACUCUACCGGACAAGCAACAGCACCGACUCGCCGACGUACCUGCGCACCUACGGCGAUGCCGGCGGCAGCACUGUCGCUGGUGGCAGCAACUACGGCAGCGGCGAAGGGGGUCAGCGCCAUCGUCGAGAUGGGCGCGACGCCAGAGACAGCCCUCACCAAAGCCCCCUCAGGCCGAGAGGGGGCGGGGACGUGAGCAACGAUGCGCAACAAGAUCACCGCCGCUGCCAGCGGCCCUUCACAGCGUACCGUCUGCCGACGGAGUCGAAGGAGACACGGGUGUACGCGGUGCGGUUGCGUGGCUUGUGCAACGCGGACGCGUCGCUUCUCAAGCGCGCCGAGCCGCCGCGGCGCGGGAUACCGGUGAUGCUGCCACCGGACUGGCAGCCGGACUGCUGAGUCCGUAUGUAUAUGUGUGUACGUGUUGUCGUUGUUGCUUUUCUCGCUCACCGUCUCGCCCCUCCCCCUGCGCUCACGCACGCCUUGCUCGGCGUUUGUGGUGGUGGUCUGCUGCUCCCACCGCGGAUGCUACUGGUGUUGCCGGCAACCUCGUGCUCGCAGAGAGACGGCGGCAGCGAGCGUCUUGCUGCGGUUCUUGCACGCGGAUGCGCGUUCUUGAACAACGUCUUUGCUCUUCUUUUUCACUCUUCGCACAGUCCAGCGCACGUUCCUGUCUGCCUCUCUAUCCUCUCGCGUGUGGUGUGUGUGUGUGUGUGUGUGUGUGUGUGUGUGUGUGGUCGUUCAUGAUGCCCUUUCAUUUUUUUUUCGGCUGGCUCCUUCUCUUCGCUUGGCGUGUGAUGUAUCAUAGCCCUUCCCUCCCCUCCUCUUUCCCCUCCCCGGACGUCCUCCUAUGCCAAGACGAGCACAGGAAGUGGUUCCUCCCCUCUCCUCCCCCCCCCCUCUCUCUCUCUCUCGCACGUACGCGUGUGCGCUGUUUGGUGUGUCUCGGCGUCUGUUUUAUGUCUGCGCAUCUGUGUCUCUUCUGUGGUGAGCCAUCUCCGUGAAGCGCGUAUGCGGGCAAGGGGGAGGGAGGGCCGGUGUUUGCGUGCUCUCCCUCAUGUGGUGCGUCCUUCACGCGCGCGCGCGGAGGCGGCUCAUACCCCACUCCCACCCACGCCUCGUGACAUCUGUGCACGCGCACUGGCACAGACACGGGCAAGAUGUUCGACAUUGCCUUCCCUCCCCCUUCUUACUCCGUCGUCUCCCUUGAUGUACUCGUUGUCUGUCACUUUCCUUCGCACGUGCAGUGGGGUGGUGGUAGCAGCGACUGCAUAGAGGAAUGCGAAAUACGGCUUAGCAGUGCAGACGUCUGUCCUGUGUGUAUGUGGUAUAUGGGGUGGCACCGUCAUCCGGAGCAGCCUCAUGUAGUCGUGUGCUCACCAUCGCCAUC
rnacentral:misc_RNA from 1 species